rnacentral:tRNA from 1 species
CAUUAGAUGGCUGAAAGCAAGCAAUGGUCUCUUAAACCACAUCAUAGUAAAAUAGCUAUUACUUCUAAUGA